UGGGUCAUAAUUUGGAGGAAGAGCUUCACAGGGCCACAUUUCUCCUUGGUCCCCACCCCUACCAACAUCUUUAUCUUGAUGGGACUGAUGCCAAAAGGGAACCUAGGGAAGUUCCAGGCACACGGAUCUGGGAGGCCACCAUCAAAGGUCCCGCUGAAGCACUCCUUGACUUUCACAGGCAGGGAAGGGAAGACCACCAAGAGGAACACUCCACAGCUCAAGGACACACUCAAGAAGGGUAACAGCAGGUGGGAUGUGGAGCACAGAAAACGCACCUAAAGGAUGGCAAAAGUCUGAGGUUGUAACUGAACACAAUGGGUUUGCAUCGUGAAACCAACCCCAAAAAGGGAGUUACUCAAUGCUGUGGUUUUGGAUAUAGUUUGUCCACUCAAGGUUCACAUGCUAGAAACUCAGUCCCCAAACUGAUGGUGCUGGAAUAUGGUGACUUUGAGAAGUGUUUCAAAGCCUUAAAGAAGAACCAGUGCUUUUCUAGGAAGCACUAGUUCUCCCAAGUUCCAGCUCCUGUGAGACUAUGUUUGGACUUUCUCGAUACCAGAAUCAUAAGCCAAAUAAACCUCUUUUCUUUGUAAGUUA